rnacentral:lncRNA from 1 species
GGAGCUGCAAACUGCCCUCAGGGCAAAGAAGCCUGCAGAAUAAUUGGGAGGAGUCUGGCAGGAAGGAAGCCAAGUUUCCUGAGGCCCUCACCAGAAGCUCAUCAGAAGCAGAUGCUGGCACCACUCUUCUUAUGCUGUCUGCGUAACUAAAGCACAAGCAAGAAUGUGUGAGAAGAUCACAGAGACCUAAAGAAGGGGAAGGGAAGAACCCACAUGUGAGAGAGAAGAGAUUGUCUGACUUGGUCUCUUAGGGCUCCUCAUCUCAAGAAGCCAGCAGGCAAGGGAAGGACAAACCAUCCUUGCAGGAAUAAUUCGUACUGAUCAUUUGGAGGAGAUUCGGCUAGUAUAGCUGCUGUUACAUAAUGAAGAAAAGGAAGAAUAUGUUUCAAACUCAGAUGAACCACUGGGGAGUCUCUUGAUACUCUGUUGCCUAAUUUGGAUGGUUAAUGGUCAGUGUUCCUAAUUGCACUGCCCCUGGAAAACGCACGGAGAAGAAAUACAGCAAAAUACAUGAGAUGGUGAAACACUCUGGCAACUGCAAGCGGACAGAUGGGAUCUGGGAGGGACUCCCAUCUUCUGCAUGGCAUCAGCACAAGGGUGAAGAGGGAAGAUAAAGGAUCAUGCAGGGAGUUUCAUGGACUAGGCCUGGAAGUGCCAUAUUCCACUGCUGCUUGUGUUCCAGAAGGCAGCCGCACAGCCACAAGGGAUUGUAAAGGAAGCUGAAAAAUAUGAUCGAGCAUUGUGUCUGGGAAGAGAGGGAAAUGGGUAUGGUGCAUGACUAACCAGUGUUUGUCACAGCACAGAAAGUAAGGUAUAAAGGAAACAACUCACUCUGUAUUCCCUAAGACAGUUGUGCUAAUAGCAUUAGCAGAAUUGUUAAUGUUAGCAGAAAUAACAGUUAAUUGUUCAGGUGUAGAACCCCCAGGGUGAGCUGGGAAUUCUCUCUUGAAUGACAGUCUUCCAUUUUGUCUCUUCUUCUUAGUCUUUUCUGCCAUUGCCUUUGUUCAGAUCUUUUCUACCUUGUGUCCAGCUUGCUGGAACCUCCACCUUCCUGGCCUGAAAGAACUAGCUUGUGAACAUGUAUCAUGUUUGCUUUCUUCUGCAAGUUGGCUCAUACAUUUUAUUAUUACCUAAUGCUGCGUAAAAACUCAUUCCAAAACUCAGUGGCUUAAAACAGCAGUAAAUUUUUAUAUCUCUCCUGGUUUCUGUGGGUCAGGAAUUUGGGGAGCAGCUUAGCUGGGUGGUUUUGGUUUGGGGUUUCUCUUGGGGUUGAACUGAGAUAUCUGCUGGGCUCUGCAGUCAUCUGAAAACUUACUGGGGGCUCAAGGUGGUUCACACAUGUGGAUGGCAAGUUGGUACUGGCUGUUGGCAAGAUGUCUCAGUAUCUCUCUAAGCAGGCCUCUCUUCACGGCUGCUUGAGUGACUUCAUGGAAUGGUGGCUGAAUUCUCCCAGAAUAAAUGAUUCAAGAGCCAAGGUAAAGCCAUAUGCCCUUUAUAACCGGGCCUCGGAAAUCCCUCACUGUCACCUCUGCCAUACUCUACUGUUCAUGUGAAUGACCCUGAUUCAGUGUGGGAAGAGACUAUGCAGGGCAUAAUACCAGAAGGCAAAAAUCACUGGGGGCAAUUUGGGAGGCUGGCCACCACACAGACUGCAUUUCAACUAUGCACCUCCCUCAAUCUCAACUUUUUCCAUACUCUCUCACUUUCUCUUCCACUUUCUGUAUUCAGAUCAAAGCCCAUCGCUUCAUGAAGUAUGCCCUGACCACUCAGCAACUAGCACUCCCAUUGCAAUUCAUUGUUCUUGCCACAUAUAUGGUCUUUAUAAUUUAACACCCUGCUUUGAAGAUGUACACGUGUGUCUUUUCUUUCAGAUGGAAUUUAAAGAAUCGUACACUAUACUCCCUGUCAUAUAGUAGGCACUCAAUAAAUAUUUUUUCUACGGAUGAAUGAAUGAGUGAAUGAAGAGUACAAGCCAGAAUCCCUGUGUCCCUACCUGUGGGCUUUUCCCUUGCUGCUUGACCUUAGUGAAGUCACUCCACCUCUCAGUCUGCUAACUCCUUCAUAAAAUGAAGAUAAUUAUACCCACCCCAGCUGUCACAGACAUGCUUUGACAUUUGAAAGAGGCAGCACUUAUAAAAGUGUUUUCGAGUGUAUAAAGAACAGGGCAAGGUGGUGUUAGUUACCUGGUUCACAAGUGAUGGCUGACAUGUAUGGCACUGUCAUGGGAUUCAGAUCAGUCAAUCCCUCUGACUCCCGCCUCAAGAAACAGUUCACACCUACACCAAGCUACACAAAGAGUCUUUGUUCAUUCCAACAGCUGCUCCUUCAGCACGUCAUGGUCACGAUCAGGAGAGGCCCUGGGCAGAGAGAACUGCCUGGUCCGGGUUGCUAGGCCCCUUCACAGUCACACUCUGGAGAUGUCAAAGCCCAAAGGCAAAGUUUAUUUCUCUAGUAGAAUUCUCAGGUUUCCUUUCCCUUCGUACACUCUGGUUUUAUAAUGUUUUUAUUAUAGAUAAUUGUCUAGGGAUAAUUUUUUUUU